GUGGGGAAUAUUGGACAAUGGGCGAAAGCCUGAUCCAGCCAUGCCGCGUGUGUGAAGAAGGUCUUCGGAUUGUAAAGCACUUUAAGUUGGGAGGAAGGGCAGUAAGUUAAUACCUUGCUGUUUUGACGUUACCGACAGAAUAAGCACCGGCUAACUUCGUGCCAGCAGCCGCGGUAAUACGAAGGGUGCAAGCGUUAAUCGGAAUUACUGGGCGUAAAGCGCGCGUAGGUGGUUUUGUAAGUUGGAGGUGAAAUCCCCGGGCUCAACCUGGGAACUGCCUCCAAAACUGUAUGACUAGAGUACGGUAGAGGGUAGUGGAAUUUCCUGUGUAGCGGUGAAAUGCGUAGAUAUAGGAAGGAACACCAGUGGCGAAGGCGACUGCCUGGACUGAUACUGACACUGAGGUGCGAAAGCGUGGGGAGCAAACAGGAUUAGAUACCCCUGUAGUCC
rnacentral:rRNA from 1 species